GUCCAGGGUAGCCUAGUGGACAUGGCAUCUGCUCAUAAGCGGGUUUGAUUCCCAUCACUGUGGGUUCGAUUCCCAUCACUGGACA